CCUUGACAUCCAGAGAACUUAGCAGAGAUGCUUUGGUGCCUUCGGGAACUCUGAGACAGGUGCUGCAUGGCUGUCGUCAGCUCGUGUUGUGAAAUGUUGGGUUAAGUCCGCAACGAGCGCAACCCUUAUCCUUUGUUGCCAGCGGUUCGGCCGGGAACUCAAAGGAGACUGCCGGUGAUAAACCGGAGGAAGGUGGGGAUGACGUCAAGUCAUCAUGGCCCUUACGGCCAGGGCUACACACGUGCUACAAUGGCGCAUACAAAGAGAAGCGACCUCGCGAGAGCAAGCGGACCUCAUAAAGUGCGUCGUAGUCCGGAUUGGAGUCUGCAACUCGACUCCAUGAAGUCGGAAUCGCUAGUAAUCGUAGAUCAGAAUGCUACGGUGAAUACGUUCCCGGGCCUUGUACACACCGCCCGUCACACCAUGGGAGUGGGUUGCAAAAGAAGUAGGUAGCUUAACCUUCGGGAGGGCGCUUACCACUUCGUGAUUCAUGACUGGGGUGAAGUCGUAACAAGGUAAGCGUAGACGU
rnacentral:rRNA from 1 species